GAAGGCGACUUUNUGGACGAAAACUGACGCUGAGGCGCGAAAGCCAGGGGAGCGAACGGGAUUAGAUACCCCGGUAGUCCUGGCCGUAAACGAUGGGUACUAGGUGUAGGAGGUAUCGACCCCUUCUGUGCCGGAGUUAACGCGAUAAGUACCCCGCCUGGGGAGUACGACCGCAAGGUUGAAACUCAAAGGAAUUGACGGGGGCCCGCACAAGCGGUGGAGUAUGUGGUUUAAUUCGACGCAACGCGAAGAACCUUACCAGGUCUUGACAUUGAUGGACAGAACUAGAGAUAGUUCCUCUUCUUCGGAAGCCAGAAAACGGGUGGUGCACGGUUGUNGUCAGCUCGUGUCGUGAGAUGUUGGGUUAAGUNCCGCAACGAGCGCNACCCCUAUCUUAUGUUGCCAGCANGUAAUGGUGGGAACUCAUGAGAGACUGCCGCAGACAAUGCGGAGGAAGGCGGGGAUGACGUCAAAUCAUCAUGCCCCUUAUGACCUGGGCUACACACGUACUACAAUGGGAGUUAAUAGACGGAAGCGAGAUCGCGAGAUGGAGCAAACCCGAGAAACACUCUCUCAGUUCGGAUCGUAGGCUGCAACUCGCCUACGUGAAGUCGGAAUCGCUAGUAAUCGCAGGUCAGCAUACUGCGGUGAAUACGUUCCCGGGCCUUGUACACACCGCCCGUCNCACCACGAAAGUCGGAAGUGCCCAAAGCCGGUGGGGUANCCUUCGGGAGCCA
rnacentral:rRNA from 1 species